AAGCCCCUCGCCGGAGAAGACAGCCCAGCCGCUAGGGAGUCGACCGCCGUACCGGAGCAUUUUCUAGCCACCAAACGAGGUAAAAAUUCUACCCUUUACUUAGAAUUUGAUUCUAAACCCACCUAUGGCCAAAUCGGAGCGAAAGCACCAGCCAAUUGGUUGGAAAAUGCUGCCGAAGCUCAGCGGUGCCACCGCAGGGUGUCUCGAUUUUUACCUCCGAUGAAGCCCUUCUCGAUUCCCGUUCGAUGUGAUUUUUCCACUGUUGUAAUCACUGUUUCUUCCUCUACAGGUUGAUCGGAGCAAAGCACCCAACCGCGAUGUGAGCC
rnacentral:lncRNA from 1 species